rnacentral:rRNA from 1 species
GACGGAGGAUGCAAGUGUUAUCCGGAAUCACUGGGCGUAAAGCGUCUGUAGGUGGUUUAAUAAGUCAACUGUUAAAUCUUGAGGCUCAACCUCAAAAUCGCAGUCGAAACUAUUAGGCUAGAGUAUAGUAGGGGUAAAGGGAAUUUCCAGUGGAGCGGUGAAAGUGCGUAGAGAUUGGAAAGAACACCGAUGGCGAAGGCGACUUUACUGGGCUAUACUAACACUCAGAGACGAAAGCUAGGGUAGCAAAUGGG